rnacentral:rRNA from 1 species
GGUUGGGAUCAUACCAGCACUAAUGCACCGGAUCCCAUCAGAACUUCGCAGGUAAACGUGUUUGGACGACAGUAUAUUACUAGAAUGGGUGACCUCCUAGGAAGUUCUUGUGUUGCAACCCA